rnacentral:tRNA from 1 species
GCCUUCGUGGUGUAGUGGAAAGCACGACCGCCUAUUACGCGACAGGCUCGGGUUCGAUCCCCGAUGGAGGCA